CAUUCUUCUUUGUCUCAUACCUAACUCUUCUCUUCUCCUCUCAUCUCAAACGGCGCUCUCCUCUCGCUGCCGACUACUCCACACAUCGAAAUCGCCGGUGAUCGUCCCUAUUUUCCGUUGAUCUCCACCAAAAAUACAAAGAUUUAGUCAUAUGCGAAAUCAAGUGGAAAGAUCAAGGACGAAACAGGGCAAGAUUAGGAGAUGGCGAGGUUUUUCAAGCCGAGCCAGUUCUUAUUGACCAAUUGGGUGAAUACCGCUACUUGAAUUCCGAACAAAUAAUGCAACAAGCAACUACCAGCACCAUUGAAAGAUUUACGCUGAUGACAAGUGGUUUUGAAGUCGAAUCGUUGUUGCCUACUGUGAGAUAUGAAGAUGAUAUUCAAUCCGCGGAGAGCAAUUUAAGCAUUGAUAUGAAUGAAUUAAUCAAUUUUCUGGAUCUUCCUUCGACUUCAAAUGUUCAGGACCCUGUGAUUGAGUGCACGGAUUUGUCAAAGAGACUGGACAAAAAUUCUGCUGAAGAAAAUGGAUUAUGUGAUGAAAGGUUGGGAAUUGGGUCGAAAGAGUUUAUGGAACAGCUGAUGAAAGGUCAAGAAGAAGACCCUUUCUUGCUUGACACUAGCUAGGUAAAAGAUUUAGAUUUGGAACUAUGAAUUGGAUGAGUUACAUAACAGCAAGACAUUCUGGUUUUUUUUUUUUUGUUUCAGUUGAAUUUCUAAUUAAGCUAUUAACUCCAUGUUUGGGUUUUCUCUGCCUUGGUGAUUGCACAUGAUUGGCUUGGCUCGGUAUGUGCCAACCUAGUUGGGAUAUACUCAAGUCCGCAAUGAUGCAUUUUUAUCACCUUGGCCUCUCUGUAUGUAUAACUUUAAUCUUUAUACAUUAAUAAAAUUUCAGUUUUAAAUGUUCUUACAUUGUUAUUAAUUGUUCAAAAUCA